AGACGUGGCAGUGCAGAGUGCAUGACAUCAGCGUCAUUGAGGUCUCUCUUACAGGAGCAUUACAGAUGUGCAGAAUUUCACACGCAUUGUGCAACUGAAGUCCAAGUUCCAGGCUGUCUGCUGAGUGCCAUAGGAAGGGAGGAGAAACAGGACAUAAGAUUAAGGAGAUCAUGGCUGCCAUUGAUCGGAAUCCUAUCAUUGGCUCGUUGAGAGUUUGCCACCUGCAAGCACUUGUUGUGUACUUGAAGGCCCUGAGAAACUCAAAGGAAUACCUGAGCUGCCAGGACUGGUGUCAUCACUGAAAGCGGUCAUAAACAACAUGGCAGAUUCAUCUAUUUCCUCCAGCCAAAGCGACUCACCAUGCACUAGCAGUGACACUUGCAGUGAAGACAUGGCAUUAUGACUGAAGGACCUUGAACCGAUCCCUCAUUAGCAUUGUGCAGGCCCUCCAUGAUUUUGUGAUCUUGCACGUUCACCAAUUCAUGCAAAUUCAGGGACUUUGCUGCAUUUGCGUGUUGUAAUAUUCAAUAAAUGUGAAUGGUGAUGUGUAGUUAUG